CUUACAAAAGUUGAUUAGUAUUUAAACUUGUUAUCUGCUUUUAAUCUGGAUAGUUCUAAACGCAAUCAUCAUUGACAUCUGGGGAAUCAGCUGUUUUCAAAACCAAGAAACCUUGAACUGCGGAGAGCCUGCAGUCAAAAAGGGAAAACAACAGAGUCUGUGCUAAAAUGAGAAUAAAUAUAAGGAUCGGCAUGGCUUUGGAGAGGUGGUGACAAUUCGGAGAUCUGAAGGGGUUGGAGACUGACACAGAGAUGUGUUUUUUUUCUGCUGAACAGAUAAGAUAUUUCAGUGGCUCAGUAGGUAGCUAACUAACAUUAACAUACUUGUCCGCUAGAUUCAGCUAGGUAUCGUGUUUCCUAUAUUGUUUUUAUUGUUUGUUGUGCUGUGGUCAGUGUGGUAAAUUGCACUUGUUUUCUGCUAGCUACGAGUGCAACUCACCUCUAAUGCAAGAAAAUCGUAUCCGCCUCUAACUCCGUUGUCAAGUAUUGGAGCUAAUAUACAACACAUACGAACAGCUCAAACGAUCAGAUUCAUCCACGCAGAGAAUACAAAAAAAAAUAAAAAAUUCUCAGGAAGUCUGAAUCUUCAUCGAUCAGC
ensembl:lncRNA